rnacentral:rRNA from 1 species
AGCCGUCCUUGAAAUACCACCCUUGUAUGUUUGAUGUUCUAACGUUGGCCCCUAAUCGGGGUUGCGGACAGUGCCUGGUGGGUAGUUUGACUGGGGCGGUCUCCUCCCAAAGAGUAACGGAGGAGCACGAAGGUGGGCUAAUCACGGUUGGACAUCGUGAGGUUAGUGCAAUGGCAUAAGCCCGCUUAACUGCGAGAAUGACGGUUCGAGCAGGUGCGAAAGCAGGUCAUAGUGAUCCGGUGGUUCUGAAUGGAAGGGCCAUCGCUCAACGGAUAAAAGGUACUCCGGGGAUAACAGGCUGAUACCGCCCAAGAGUUCAUAUCGACGGCGGUGUUUGGCACCUCGAUGUCGGCUCAUCACAUCCUGGGGCUGAAGUCGGUCCCAAGGGUAUGGCUGUUCGCCAUUUAAAGUGGUACGCGAGCUGGGUUUAGAACGUCGUGAGACAGUUCGGUCCCUAUCUGCCGUGGGCGUUGGAAGAUUGAAGGGGGCUGCUCCUAGUACGAGAGGACCGGAGUGGACGAACCUCUGGUGUUCGGGUUGUGUCGCCAGACGCAUUGCCCGGUAGCUAAGUUCGGAAUCGAUAACCGCUGAAAGCAUCUAAGCGGGAAGCGAGCCCUGAGAUGAGUCUUCCCUGAUACUUUAAGUAUCCUAAAGGGUUGUUCGAGACUAGAACGUUGAUAGGCAGGGUGUGUAAGCGCUGUGAGGCGUUGAGCUAACCUGUACUAAUUGCCCGUGAGGCUUAACCAUACAACACCCAAAGGGUUUUG